ACUGUCGUGGUGCGGGCAAAGCCGCGACAGUCCAUGAACUUCGCGGUUUUGAGAGGAAAUUUGUACAAACCCUUCUCUGUAUCGUAGAAACUCAGUUAGUAGGCUCGAGGGUAGAAGCUUUAGCAGGAACGCUUGGUUAUGAUAAUGGUUAUGCAGAUAGUAGUAAUGGUAGGACUGGUGGCAUGGCAUUUUCUGAAACAAUGAAAUAA
rnacentral:rRNA from 1 species